rnacentral:lncRNA from 1 species
CCCACCUACGGAAGAACGUAGGUUAGACGGGGAACACAUCAGCUAAAGAGUAAACCUCACCUACGGAAACGUAGUGUUAGACGAGGGACGUACUCAAAAGUGAACCCCACCUACGGAAGAACGUAGGUUAGACGGGGAACACAUCGGCAAAAGUGAACCCCACCUACGGAAGAACGUAGGAUUAGACGGGGAACACAUCGGCAAAAGUGAACCCCACCUACGGAAGAACGUAGGUUAGACGGGGGACACGUCGGCUAAACACACACCCAAUUCUACAAAAAUGUAGACAGAGGGGCAAGUGUCCAAGAGUAAACCUCACCUACGGAAGAACGUAGAUUAGACGAAGGACAUACUCAAGAACAAUCCUCACCGACGGAUGAACGUAGGUAGACGAGGAGUCACACUUAGCCUCAGUCGCAGAAAGGCGAGCAAAAGGAGGGGGCAAGUAUUGAAACAACAAUCCUCACCUAUGGAUGAACGUAGGUAGACGAGGAACCACACUUAGCCUCAGUCGCAGAAAGGCGAGCAAAAGGAGGGGGCAAGUAUUCAAAGAACAAUCCUCAUCUACGGAAGAACGUAGGUAGACGAGGAGCCACACUUAGCCUCAGUCGCAGAAAGGCGAGCAAAAGGAGGGGGCAAGUAUUCAAGUAAUAGUCCUCACCCACGGAUGAACGCGGGUAGACGAGGAAGCAC